GAUGAACGCUGGCGGCGUGCCUAAUACAUGCAAGUCGAGCGAACGGACGAGAAGCUUGCUUCUCUGAUGUUAGCGGCGGACGGGUGAGUAACACGUGGAUAACCUACCUAUAAGACUGGGAUAACUUCGGGAAACCGGAGCUAAUACCGGAUAAUAUUUUGAACCGCAUGGUUCAAAAGUAAAAGACGGUCUUGCUGUCACUUAUAGAUAGAUCCGCGCUGCAUUAGCUAGUUGGUAAGGUAACGGCUUACCAAGGCAACGAUGCAUAGCCGACCUGAGAGGGUGAUCGGCCACACUGGAACUGAGACACGGUCCAGACUCCUACGGGGGGCAGCAGUAGGGAAUCUUCCGCAAUGGGCGAAAGCCUGACGGAGCAACGCCGCGUGAGUGAUGAAGGUCUUCGGAUCGUAAAACUCUGUUAUUAGGGAAGAACAUAUGUGUAAGUAACUGUGCACAUCUUGACGGUACCUAAUCAGAAAGCCACGGCUAACUACGUG
rnacentral:rRNA from 1 species